rnacentral:rRNA from 1 species
UACGAAGGGGGCUAGCGUUGCUCGGAAUCACUGGGCGUAAAGCGCACGUAGGCGGCUUUCUAAGUCAGGGGUGAAAUCCUGGAGCUCAACUCCAGAACUGCCUUUGAUACUGGAGAGCUUGAGUCCGGAAGGAGGUGAGUGGAACUCCGAGUGUAGAGGUGAAAUUCGUAGAUAUUCGGAAGAACACCAGUGGCGAAGGCGGCUCACUGGCCGGUACUAGACGCUGAGGUGCGAAAGCUGUGGGGAGCAACAA